rnacentral:rRNA from 1 species
UGAUGUUAGCGGCGGACGGGUGAGUAACACGUGGAUAACCUACCUAUAAGACUGGGAUAACUUCGGGAAACCGGAGCUAAUACCGGAUAAUAUAUUGAACCGCAUGAUUCAAUAGUGAAAGACGGUUUUGCUGUCACUUAUAGAUGGAUCCGCGCCGCAUUAGCUAGUUGGUAAGGUAACGGCUUACCAAGGCAACGAUGCGUAGCCGACCUGAGAGGGUGAUCGGCCACACUGGAACUGAGACACGGUCCAGACUCCUACGGGAGGCAGCAGUAGGGAAUCUUCCGCAAUGGGCGAAAGCCUGACGGAGCAACGCCGCGUGAGUGAUGAAGGUCUUCGGAUCGUAAAACUCUGUUAUUAGGGAAGAACAAAUGUGUAAGUAACUAUGCACGUCUUGACGGUACCUAAUCAGAAAGCCACGGCUAACUACGUGCCAGCAGCCGCGGUAAUACGUAGGUGGCAAGCGUUAUCCGGAAUUAUUGGGUGUAAAGCGCGCGUAGGCGGUUUUUUAAGUCUGAUGUGAAAGCCCACGGCUCAACCGUGGAGGGUCAUUGGAAACUGGAAAACUUGAGUGCAGAAGAGGAAAGUGGAAUUCCAUGUGUAGCGGUGAAAUGCGCAGAGAUAUGGAGGAACACCAGUGGCGAAGGCGACUUUCUGGUCUGUAACUGACGCUGAUGUGCGAAAGCGUGGGGAUCAA